rnacentral:rRNA from 1 species
GCAAGUCGAACGCGAUCUUCGGAUUGAGUGGCGGACGGGUGAGUAAUACAUGGGAAUCUACCGAGAAGUGGGGAAUAACUAUUGGAAACAGUAGCUAAUACCGCAUAAUCCACAUUGGGAAAGCUUUAGCGCUUUUCGAUGAGCCCAUGUCUGAUUAGCUUGUUGGUGAGGUAAGAGCUCACCAAGGCGACGAUCAGUAGCUGGUUUGAGAGGAUGAUC